rnacentral:rRNA from 1 species
CGCGGCCUAUCAGCUUGUUGGUGGGGUAAUGGCCUACCAAGGCGACGACGGGUAGCCGGCCUGAGAGGGCGACCGGCCACACUGGGACUGAGACACGGCCCGGACUCCUACGGGAGGCAGCAGUGGGGAAUAUUGCACAAUGGGCGAAAGCCUGAUGCAGCGACGCCGCGUGAGGGAUGACGGCCUUCGGGUUGUAAACCUCUUUCAGCAGGGACGAAGCGUAAGUGACGGUACCUGCAGAAGAAGCGCCGGCCAACUACGUGCCAGCAGCCGCGGUAAGACGUAGGGCGCGAGCGUUGUCCGGAUUUAUUGGGCGUAAAGAGCUCGUAGGCGGCUUGUCGCGUCGACUGUGAAAACCCGCAGCUCAACUGCGGGCCUGCAGUCGAUACGGGCAGGCUAGAGUUCGGUAGGGGAGACUGGAAUUCCUGGUGUAGCGGUGGAAUGCGCAGAUAUCAGGAGGAACACCGGUGGCAAAGGCGGGUCUCUGGGCCGAUACUGACGCUGAGGAGCGAAAGCGUGGGGAGCGAACAGGAUUAGAUACCCUGGUAGUCCACGCUGUAAACGUUGGGCGCUAGGUGUGGGGGACCUCUCCGGUUCUCUGUGCCGCAGCUAACGCAUUAAGCGCCCCGCCUGGGGAGUACGG